UAUGGAAGGGCCAUCGCUCAACGGAUAAAAGGUACUCCGGGGAUAACAGGCUGAUACCGCCCAAGAGUUCACAUCGACGGCGGUGUUUGGCACCUCGAUGUCGGCUCAUCACAUCCUGGGGCUGAAGCCGGUCCCAAGGGUAUGGCUGUUCGCCAUUUAAAGUGGUACGCGAGCUGGGUUUAGAACGUCGUGAGACAGUUCGGUCCCUAUCUGCCGUGGACGUUGGAGAUUUGAGGAAAGCUGCUCCUAGUACGAGAGGACCGGAGUGGACGAACCUCUGGUGUUCCGGUUGUCACGCCAGUGGCAUUGCCGGGUAGCUACGUUCGGACGGGAUAACCGCUGAAAGCAUCUAAGCGGGAAGCCCCCCUCAAAACCAGGUAUCCCUAUCAGAGCCGUGGAAGACCACCACGUUGAUAGGCUGGAAGUGGAAGCGUAGCGAUACGUGAAGCGGACCAGUACUAAUUGCUCGAUCGGCUUGAU
rnacentral:rRNA from 1 species